rnacentral:rRNA from 1 species
UAAUACGGAGGGUGCAAGCGUUAAUCGGAAUUACUGGGCGUAAAGCGCACGCAGGCGGUUUGUUAAGUCAGAUGUGAAAUCCCCGGGCUCAACCUGGGAACUGCAUUUGAAAUUGGCAAGCUAGAGUCUCGUAGAGGGGGGUAGAAUUCCAGGUGUAGCGGUGAAAUGCGUAGAGAUCUGGAGGAAUACCGGUGGCGAAGGCGGCCCCCUGGACGAAGACUGACGCUCAGGUGCGAAAGCGUGGGGAGCAAACAGGAUUAGAUACCCUGGUAGUCCACGCUGUAAACGAUGUCGAUUUGGAGGUUGUGCCCUUGAGGCGUGGCUUCCGGAGCUAACGCGUUAAAUCGACCGCCUGGGGAGUACGGCCGCAAGGUUA